rnacentral:tRNA from 1 species
UAGUAAGUGGUGUAGUGGAAGCACAGAGGGUUUUGAUCUCUCCGGGUAGGGUUCGAACCCCUUCUUUCUAA